rnacentral:rRNA from 1 species
AACGCUAGCUACAGGCUUAACACAUGCAAGUCGAGGGGCAGCAUGGUCUUAGCUUGCUAAGGCCGAUGGCGACCGGCGCACGGGUGAGUAACACGUAUCCAACCUGCCGUCUACUCUUGGACAGCCUUCUGAAAGGAAGAUUAAUACAAGAUGGCAUCAUGAGUCCGCAUGUUCACAUGAUUAAAGGUAUUCCGGUAGACGAUGGGGAUGCGUUCCAUUAGAUAGUAGGCGGGGUAACGGCCCACCUAGUCUUCGAUGGAUAGGGGUUCUGAGAGGAAGGUCCCCCACAUUGGAACUGAGACACGGUCCAAACUCCUACGGGAGGCAGCAGUGAGGAAUAUUGGUCAAUGGGCGAGAGCCUGAACCAGCCAAGUAGCGUGAAGGAUGACUGCCCUAUGGGUUGUAAACUUCUUUUAUAAAGGAAUAAAGUCGGGUAUGGAUACCCGUUUGCAUGUACUUUAUGGAUAAGGAUCGGCUAACUCCGUGCCAGCAGCCGCGGUAAUACGGAGGAUCCGAGCGUUAUCCGGAUUUAUUGGGUUUAAAGGGAGCGUAGAUGGAUGUUUAAGUCAGUUGUGAAAGUUUGCGGCUCAACCGUAAAAUUGCAGUUGAUACUGGAUAUCUUGAGUGCAGUUGAGGCAGGCGGAAUUCGUGGUGUAGCGGUGAAAUGCUUAGAUAUCACGAAGAACUCCGAUUG